ACGGGGGUUGCAAGCGUUGUCCGGAAUUACUGGGCGUAAAGCGCACGCAGGCGGUUCCUUAAGUCUGAUGUGAAAGCCCACGGCUCAACCGUGGAAAGGCAUUGGAUACUGGGGAGCUUGAGUGCGGAAGAGGAGAGUGGAAUUCCAGGUGUAGCGGUGAAAUGCGUAGAUAUCUGGAGGAACACCGGUGGCGAAGGCGACUCUCUGGUCUGUAACUGACGCUGAGGCGCGAAAGCGUGGGGAGCAAACAG
rnacentral:rRNA from 1 species